CCUACGGGAGGCAGCAGUGGGGAAUAUUGCACAAUGGGGGGAACCCUGAUGCAGCGACGCCGCGUGAGUGAAGAAGUAUCUCGGUACGUAAAGCUCUAUCAGCAGGGAAGAAAAUGACGGUACCUGACUAAGAAGCCCCGGCUAACUACGUGCCAGCAGCCGCGGUAAUACGUAGGGGGCAAGCGUUAUCCGGAUUUACUGGGGGUAAAGGGAGCGUAGACGGGACUGCAAGUCCGGAGUGAAAGCCCAAGGCUUAACCAUGGGACUGCUUUGGAAACUGUGGAGCUUGAGUGCGGGAGGGGUAGGCGGAAUUCUCGGUGUAGCAGUGAAAUGCGUAGAUAUCGAGAGGAACACUCGUGGCGAAGGCGGGUUCCUGGACAUUAACUGACGCUGAGGCACGAAGGCCAGGGGAGCGAAAGGGAUUAGAUACCCUUGUAGUC
rnacentral:rRNA from 1 species